CCCUUAGAUGUUCUGGGCCGCACGCGCGCUACAAUGGUCUUCGCAAACGGAUGCAUUCUCGAAGGAGAAUGCCAAUCUUGGAAUCUAUGCCUUGGUCGGGACAGUUGCUUGUAAUUUUUCGACUCGAACCAGGAAUUCCUUGUAAUCGUGAUUCAUCACAUCACGAUGAAUACGUCCCUGCCCUUUGUACACACCGCCCGUCGCUCCUACCGAUCGAAGAGUUAGGUGAAUUGUUUUGAUCGAUAAGAUUUGACUAUGGUCAACUCUCGUUGUGAAAUUCUGUGAAUCUGACUGUUUAGAGGAAGGAAAAGUCGUAACA
rnacentral:rRNA from 1 species